rnacentral:rRNA from 1 species
UUUAUGGAGAGUUUGAUCCUGGCUCAGGAUGAACGCUGGCGGCGUGCCUAAUACAUGCAAGUCGAGCGAACGGACGAGAAGCUUGCUUCUCUGAUGUUAGCGGCGGACGGGUGAGUAACACGUGGAUAACCUACCUAUAAGACUGGGAUAACUUCGGGAAACCGGAGCUAAUACCGGAUAAUAUUAUGAACCGCAUGGUUCAAAAGUGAAAGACGGUCUUGCUGUCACUUAUAGAUGGAUCCGCGCUGCAUUAGCUAGUUGGUAAGGUAACGGCUUACCAAGGCAACGAUGCAUAGCCGACCUGAGAGGGUGAUCGGCCACACUGGAACUGAGACACGGUCCAGACUCCUACGGGAGGCAGCAGUAGGGAAUCUU